UACCAUCAACCUCUCCCCAUUACUCGUUACCAAGUAAGGUUUUAUGCUAAUAAUUGUUUUGAGUAAUUACUAGAAACCUUUUGGCACUUAGGUUGAAGCAGACUCAGGUUACAGUAAAUCAAUUGUUCUCAGGAAUGCUUGCAAGAUUUGAACUUUGUUAACAAAAGAGAUUUAUACUUGGUAAAGUUGCUCCCAUUUCUACCUGGCGAAUGUUUUUUCCUUCUAUUUAAAUCAUGUAUUGGUUGGAAUAUAUACCUUACCUUCAAUGGGAUUUGGGUCCUGAAGUGGGACUUCCAUAAGUGGGACUUCCAUAAGUGGGACUUCCAUAAUGGGACUUCCAUAAGUGGGACUUCCAUACAAAGUGGGCAAUCCAUACGUGAGACUUCCAUAAGUGAGACUUCCUUAAGUGGGACUUCUAUGAACGCAUUUUCAACACACUACUGAAAUUUUAAUCAUGCUUUAUCUAAGGAUGCACUGAGGGUUUUACUUAAAAAAUAUGAGAUCAUGUCUGAUUUGUACAUUUUUCUUGAAGUGCUGCUCAUGUAAAUAUCAGUUGGUAUUAACUAUUAUUCAAGUUUUUCAGUUAUGGUUUUCUGUAAAUAAAGUGUCUUUUUAACAAUAAAAAUCAUGACUGUGAUCUUUA